rnacentral:rRNA from 1 species
UACGGAGGAUGCGAGCGUUAUCCGGAUUUAUUGGGUUUAAAGGGUGCGUAGGCGGGAUGCCAAGUCAGCGGUAAAAAUUCGGGGCUCAACCCCGUCCGGCCGUUGAAACUGACGCCCUUGAGUGAGUGAGAAGUAAGCGGAAUGCGUGGUGUAGCGGUGAAAUGCAUAGAUAUCACGCAGAACGCCGAUUGCGAAGGCAGCAUACCGGCGCCCAACUGACGCUGAGGCACGAAAGCGUGGGGAUCGAACAGG